rnacentral:rRNA from 1 species
GAUGAACGCUGGCGGCGUGCCUAAUACAUGCAAGUCGAGCGAACAGACGAGGAGCUUGCGCCUCUGACGUUAGCGGCGGACGGGUGAGUAACACGUGGAUAACCUACCUAUAAGACUGGGAUAACUUCGGGAAACCGGAGCUAAUACCGGAUAAUAUAUUGAACCGCAUGGUUCAAUAGUGAAAGACGGUUUUGCUGUCACUUAUAGCUGGAUCCGCGCCGCAUUAGCUAGUUGGUAAGGUAACGGCUUACCAAGGCAACGAUGCGUAGCCGACCUGAGAGGGUGAUCGGCCACACUGGAACUUAGACACGGUCCAGACUCCUACGGGAGGCAGCAGUAGGGAAUCUUCCGCAAUGGGCGAAAGCCUGACGGAGCAGCGCCGCGUGAGUGAUGAAGGUCUUCGGAUCGUAAAACUCUGUUAUUAGGGAAGAACAAAUGUGUAAGUAACUAUGCACGUCUUGACGGUACCUAAUCAGAAAGCCACGGCUAACUACGUG